GGGCGCAGUCUGACGGAGCGACGCCGCGUGUGGGAUGAAGCGCCUCUGGCGUGUAAACCACUGUCAGGGAACAGAACCAAUGAUUGUUUCCAGAGGAAGGGGCGACUAACUCUGUGCCAGCAGUCGCGGUAAGACAGAGGCCCCGAGCGUUAAUCGGAAUCACUGGGCUUAAAGGGUGCGUAGGCUGAUCCGAAAGUGCUUUGUGAAAUCCCAUGGCUCAACCAUGGAACAGCGGGGCAUACUACGGAUCUCGAGGAAGGUAGGGGCCGCCAGAACAGUAGGUGGAGCGGUGAAAUGCGUAGAUAUCUACUGGAAUGCCGAUGGUGAAGACGGGCGGCUGGGCCUUUCCUGACGCUGAGGCACGAAAGCGUGGGGAGCAAACAGGAUUAGAUACCCUGGUAGUCCACGCCGUAAACGAUGCGCGCUAGAUCGGUGCCGCUCUCACGCGGGAUCGGUCGUAGUAAAAACGAUAAGUGCGCCGCCUGGGGAGUACGGUCGCAAGGCUAAAACUCAAAGGAAUUGACGGGGGC
rnacentral:rRNA from 1 species